AUGCCUUAGUAACGGCGAGUGAAGCGGCAAAAGCUCAAAUUUGAAAUCUGGCACCUUCGGUGUCCGAGUUGUAAUUUGAAGAAGGUAACUUUGGAGUUGGCUCUUGUCUAUGUUCCUUGGAACAGGACGUCACAGAGGGUGAGAAUCCCGUGCGAUGAGAUGCCCAAUUCUAUGUAAAGUGCUUUCGAAGAGUCGAGUUGUUUGGGAAUGCAGCUCUAAGUGGGUGGUAAAUUCCAUCUAAAGCUAAAUAUUGGCGAGAGACCGAUAGCGAACAAGUACAGUGAUGGAAAGAUGAAAAGAACUUUGAAAAGAGAGUGAAAAAGUACGUGAAAUUGUUGAAAGGGAAGGGCUUGAGAUCAGACUUGGUAUUUUGCGAUCCUUUCCUUCUUGGUUGGGUUCCUCGCAGCUUACUGGGCCAGCAUCGGUUUGGAUGGUAGGAUAAUGACUAAGGAAUGUGGCUCUACUUCGGUGGAGUGUUAUAGCCUUGGUUGAUACUGCCUGUCUAGACCGAGGACUGCGUCUUUUGACUAGGAUGUUGGCAUAAUGAUCUUAAGCCACCCGUCUUGAAACACGGACCAAA
rnacentral:rRNA from 1 species